rnacentral:rRNA from 1 species
AUGUGUCUACCAAAGAGUAGAGGAGGCAUGGGGUUCAGAGACAUUCAUUGCUUUAAUUUGGCACUGCUAGCAAAACAAGCAUGGUGACUUAUUGAAGAUCCUGAAUCCCUCUGUGCAAAGAUUCUUAAAGCAAAAUAUUAUCCUGAUGUUGAGCUUAUGAAUGCUAGUCUGAAAAAGAAGGCCUCUCAUACAUGGCAAAGUAUAAUGGCAGGUGUGGAGACCUUGAAACAAGGACAUAUUUGGAGGGUGGGAGAUGGUCAAAAAAUAAAAAUAUGGGAAGAUAGUUGGAUCCCACAAUCUCCCACCAGGAAGGUUAUCUCUAGUAGAGGGAAUCACCUCCUCUCUCGAGUGUCAGAUCUUAUAGAUCCAGUGUCAGGUGAAUGGGAUUCAGAGCUGAUAAACCAAACAUUUUGCAGUGUUGAUGUUCAGAGAAUUCUUGCAAUUCCACUACCAAUAUAUGAAAUAACAGACUUUUUAGCUUGGAGUUUCACUAAAACAGGUGGGUUCACCAUAAGAUCAACAUAUCACGUCGUCUGGGAGUCAAGGUUCGGCCAUAAUCUGCAAGGUACAGCGAGUUCUUCCUCGCCGACACCUACGUGGAAUUCGGUGUGGAGCUUGAGCUGCCCAGCAAAGGUUAAAUUUUUUGUUUGGAGAGCACUUCUUAGUGUUGUUCCAUGUCGUGCAAUUCUGGCUAAUAGACAUAUCAAGAUCAAACCAAAUUGUCUUGUAUGUAACCAAGGACCAGAGAGUAUCCAUCACCUGCUAUUUGAAUGUCCAGUUGCGGUUCAGGUUUGGAAGCUCCUUGGAGUGUGGGAUGUAAUAUAG